GUCUCGAUCUCCUGACCUCGUGAUCCGCCCACCUCCGCCUCUCCAAGUGCUGGGAUUACAGGCAUGAGCCACCGCGCCCGGCCCUUGUAUUUUUAAACUUUGACUUUAUGGAGACGAACACCAUCGUUUGCUGAACACUUGAAACAUGAUGAAAGAGCCACAGAGUUGGCAGAACUGUUUGAAAAUGCUGUGCAAGCGGUCUUCUCUGUCUUCUUUAUGGCCAGUAAAAUUCUCCAGAAGAGAUUUAUGGCAGCCUCACUCCCAGUAGUUUCUGCAUUUAGUGAGAUAAGAUGGAAUCUUGCUCUCUUGCUCAGACUGGAGUGCAGUGGCAUGACCUUGGCUCACUGCAACCUCACCUCUCGGGUUCAAGCGAUUCUGCCUCAGCCUCUCGAGUAGCUGGGACUACAGGUGGGAGACCUCCACAGAACCCUUCCAGCAAGCUGUCUUCUAAAGCAAACAAGAAAAGGAAAGUCUGAGCAGUUUUGAUUAGAUUUCCCAGAAGUCAAAGCAAGGAAAAAUGAAAAAGCUUCAUUUCUCACGUUCUUAAAAGAGAGCACAGAUGUUGCAUCAUCUGGUUAGAUACCCUGAGAAUAAAAUCUGGAUCCAGUGAGAGGAAAGAUUCUGGGUGCUCAUGAAAAAAGAAACAAAACAAAACUUGGGAGCCUCUUGAGAGUGUACAGCAUCAGCCCUUGCCAACUCUUGUUUAUAUGCAUUUAACUUUCAGUUAACCAUGGGAAUAAUUCAUGAAAAUCCAAUCUACAAACAAAGGCCAUCCUAACGUUCAUGUUAUUCUUUUCCCUAAGAAUCUUUCACAAGAGCUAUAAUCAAGUAGAAUUAUGCUUUGAUUUGAAUUCUAAUUCAAUUGAAAAUAAAAAAUGAGGGCCGGACGCGGUGGCUCAUGCCUGUAAUCCCAGCGCUUUGGGAGGCUGAGGUGGACGGAUCACGAGGUCAGGAGAUCGAGACCAUCCUGGCUAACACGGUGAAACCCGAUCCCUACUAAAAAUACAAAAAAUUAGCCGGGCGUGGUGGCAGGCGCCUGUAGUCCCAGCUACUCGGGAGGCUGAGGCAGGAGAAUGGCGUGAACCCAGGAGGCAGAGGUUGCAGUGAGCCGAGAUCAUGCUACUGCACUCCAGCCUGGGCGACAGAGCGAGACUCUGUGUAUAAAUAAAUAAAUAAAUAAAUAAAUAACGAAAAGGUUGCCAUUGCCCUUUCUGGGGAAAGUGAUAAUGAGGAAAGACUAGUUUCUUAACCCAAGUCAGCUUUAGAGUCGGCAAGGAUGCAAUUUGAGGUGAUCCAGGAAAACUCUAUUAGCAUGGUAUUUCCCAUACAGAUUCAUUUCUUUUAGGCCUGAAGUCUUUUUGGCACUUCUUAAUAAAAUCACAGAUACCUCUUGGACAUGAAAGCUUAUCCUUUAUCAAUUUCUAUCAGUUAACCACUCAGAUGAGGAUAAAGGCCUGAGUCAGAAAGGACAGAGAGAGGUUCCACAAAGAGAUAAAAGAUGAGUGGCCAUAAGGAGUCCUUGAAAACACACCUCUCUAGCCCAUCAAAAAAUGCAGCACCUUAAACUCAAGUCCAUCUUACUAGCCUUUAGCAGUACCCCACCACUCUCAAAAUUUCCAGCAUUAAAUGUCUCGGAGCUAUAUAAAAGGCAGACUUAGGUAUAAGUAGGAAGAGAUAUCAAGGGCUUGGGUAUCAUUUCAGCACUAAUGGAGCUUAUGGCAUGUAUGAAUGAACCUGAUGCGUGGUCUCCACGGUAGAUUGUUACAAUUGAGGUCCCACAUUUAUGAGAUUCCCAGUGAAAACAAAUCUCACAGCUUCACCUGAGAGAAACAUUACUGUCAGUCUCAGAUACAAAAGCCUGCUGCUAUUAGGUACCUAUACACCUGCUGAAAAUGGACCAGCUUUGC
ensembl:lncRNA SLC12A2-DT SLC12A2 divergent transcript